GAUGAACGCUGGCGGCGUGCCUAAUACAUGCAAGUCGAGCGAACGGACGAGAAGCUUGCUUUUCUGAUGUUAGCGGCGGACGGGUGAGUAACACGUGGAUAACCUACCUAUAAGACUGGGAUAACUUCGGGAAACCGGAGCUAAUACCGGAUAAUAUUUUGAACCGCAUGGUUCAAAAGUGAAAGACGGUCUUGCUGUCACUUAUAGAUGGAUCCGCGCUGCAUUAGCUAGUUGGUAAGGUAACGGCUUACCAAGGCAACGAUGCAUAGCCGACCGGAGAGGGUGAUCGGCCACACUGGAACUGAGACACGGUCCAGACUCCUACGGGAGGCAGCAGUAGGGAAUCUUCCGCAAUGGGCGAAAGCCUGACGGAGCAACGCCGCGUGAGUGAUGAAGGUGUUCGGAUCGUAAAACUCUGUUAUUAGGGAAGAACAUAUGUGUAAGUAACUGUGCACAUCUUGACGGUACCUAAUCAGAAAGCCACGGCUAACUACGUG
rnacentral:rRNA from 1 species